rnacentral:lncRNA from 1 species
GUUCUAUUCAUUCUUUCCACCUGUGCCAAGCUUUGGGGGUGUCCUACUAUAUGUAAUCUUUGCUUAAUGUGGUUAACAACUAUUUAAACAACCAUAACAAAUGCAUGAUAAAGUAAAAGGAAAAUGUAUUAAUACCUGCAUUAUUUUUAAUCUUCCUGUAUUCAGAAUACUGAUUUAUUUAUUGGACCAUUUAAGAAAUAGGUGACACCUAUGUUUACCAAUGUAUUUUAACUGAUUGCUUCCUUAAACAGCAUAUGCACUGUGGGUCUUCCCUAGGUAUCUUGAUCUAAAUAUGCCACCAAGCCAGCUUGGUCUUGUGCCGACUCUUGGGGGGAGGGAGGAAUCAUCUGACCUUCCUAUGCUAUCUUCUUGGAAGGCAGGGUCACUUCUGACACCUUUUCAGGCUUCUUUCUCAGACAUGGUCAUCCUUUCUUUUGUAUUUUAAAUACAGCUUUUCCUGCAUUAUUCAUAACAGCACCUGAAUUAUUACAUACCACUGCGGUUUCCAUUACCAAAUCUAAUUCCAAAUUUUGAAUUAACUCUGAAUUUCCAUACACCAAUUCCCAAGUUAUACAUGGCUCUGGUUUUUCCUCUAAUCACUGUUUCUUUUCAGGAAAGUGUCCCCUCCUGGAAAAAAAAGACUUCACCGCUUCCUUUUCUAGGCAGUUAGCAUUACCUCCAUAGGGGAAUUUAGAAAAGUUCUCUGAACUCCUACUAGGGCUAACCUGUUCCUUUUUCCCUAGAUUAUGAGCAUAGCUAUCUCAAUGCUCACCACAGCACUGCUUCCCUGAGUGGGAGCUACACUGUUAAUUACCUGCACAGCCUGCAGCUCCUUUUCCAAGCAAGUUGUUUUCUGCCAGCAAUGUGCCUGGUCAGUCACAAUCAGAACCAGAGCUACUGCUGCCUGUGUGGCAGUCCACUUUUCUCUUAAACAGCAGUCCUAUUCACUUAAUGUUCUGCUGCUGCUUAUUGCAAGUGAGCUGCAGCUUUUUAAUCUGCAGCGCAUCCUCUAUAACUUUCCCUUGUGGAGAUCUCCGCCUUAAACGGAGCCUUUUCCCUACGAUAAAACGCCAGGUGCUGCUGGAUCUGAUCUAGGGACUCUCCCAACCUUUCUCAUUCCUCUAAUUUUUGUAUUCUUAAAUUGUUAACCAUAGCUGAGAUAUCUGUUCCUGCUAUCCCAGGCAUAUCAGACCUCUUAGCCAACCAGCUGGUUGCUAUAUCCUCAUUCAGGG